CCUACGGGUGGCAGCAGUGAGGAAUAUUGGUCAAUGGGCGUGAGCCUGAACCAGCCAAGUCGCGUGAGGGAAGACGGUCCUAUGGAUUGUAAACCUCUUUUGUCGGGGAGCAAAAGUGGCCACGCGUGGCGUUCCGAGAGUACCCGAAGAAAAAGCAUCGGCUAACUCCGUGCCAGCAGCCGCGGUAAUACGGAGGAUGCGAGCGUUAUCCGGAUUUAUUGGGUUUAAAGGGUGCGCAGGCGGAAGAUCAAGUCAGCGGUAAAAUUGAGAGGCUCAACCUCUUCGAGCCGUUGAAACUGGUGUUCUUGAGUGAGCGAGAGGUAGGCGGAAUGCGUGGUGUAGCGGUGAAAUGCAUAGAUAUCACGCAGAACUCCGAUUGCGAAGGCAGCAUACCGGCGCGCUACUGACGCUGAUGCACGAAAGUGUGGGUAUCGAACAGGAUUAGAUACCCCAGUAGUC
rnacentral:rRNA from 1 species